UUUUUCAGAGAGUAACCCAUUUUCUGGGUUAUAGGGCUAAUAUUUGACCCAUUGCCUGGGUUGUUUGGGUUUCUGGGUUAUUAACCCAUGUUCUGGGUUAUAAGCUUGGCUUUCUCUCUCUCUCGCGCUCUCUCUCUACAAUGUAUUUUUCGGUUAGUUGUCUUGACAUCGGACCAGCUUAUUUUCUCCUCUAAACGACACUUUGGUUCCUGGGGCAGGGAGGCGAGUCUGAAAGAAGACAAAUAGCCCUCAGCCUCAGCAGCAUCAGCCUCCUCCUCAACACACACAGGAGCAGCUAGACCCUAUUGGGGAGCAGCCUCCGUUCAUGCUGCUGGACCAGCAGGAAAUGGAGCAAGAGUCAGGAACAAACCUGAAAAACCUCUUCCGGGGCAGUGGACGUAGCCCUGGAAUAAGGAACCUGAAAUUCCCUCCUUCAAUUGAAGACCUCCAGGACUACCAGCGGUACCAUGAGGGCAGCUGCCCCCCUUCCAAGCAGCUGGAAAAUGCACAGUCCAAAGUGUCGAGGGUCAGGUCUUUUAUAUUUUACCUGGCUAAGGGACAUACUGUAUUGUUCAGUUUGCUAUUUUAAGGAACAUUGAUGGCAUCCAAAAAUACACAGCCCACCUCCAGUCCCCAGGCAAGACCAUCACAACGGCACAUUUCUACCUGAGAACCAUACAGCAGUUCCUCAAAUACUUUCGGGAAACCCUGCCUGCCCAGUCUCACCUGACUGCGAUGGAUGUGGUGAGCGUGCUGCGCCCCGUCACAAAGUGCAUCACAGACACAACCAGGAACGUUGUCCUGCACCUGCUGGCAGUGAAAAGCCACAAGAAGGCCAGGAUAAUAUCCUGCGAGGACCUGAAGCGGUGUCAGGAGGGGGCCACACUGAGGAUCCCAGAGCUGCUGGGUAGUGUGCAUCCCUCUUUCCAAAAUAGUGAAAAUAGUCCAUCUCCAACAGAAGCCUGCCGUGCAUAGUGAUA